GACGAACGCUGGCGGCGUGCCUAAUACAUGCAAGUCGAGCGAGACUCUUCGGAGUCUAGCGGCGGACGGGUGAGUAACACGUGGGCAACCUGCCUGUAAGACUGGGAUAACACCGGGAAACCGGUGCUAAUACCGGAUAAUCCUUUUUCUCUCAUGAGGAGAAGCUGAAAGUCGGUUUCGGCUGACACUUACAGAUGGGCACGCGGCGCAUUAGCUAGUUGGUGAGGUAACGGCUCACCAAGGCGACGAUGCGUAGCCGACCUGAGAGGGUGAUCGGCCACACUGGGACUGAGACACGGCCCAGACUCCUACGGGAGGCAGCAGUAGGGAAUCUUCCACAAUGGACGAAAGUCUGAUGGAGCAACGCCGCGUGAGCGAUGAAGGCCUUCGGGUCGUAAAGCUCUGUUGUCAGGGAAGAACAAGUACCGGAGUAACUGCCGGUACCUUGACGGUACCUAACCAGAAAGCCACGGCUAACUACGUGCCAGCAGCCGCCGCAGUAA
rnacentral:rRNA from 1 species